rnacentral:tRNA from 1 species
GUCUCUGUGGCGCAAUUGGUUAGCGCGUUGGACUGUUAAUCCAAAGCUUGGUGGUUCAAGCACACCCAGGGACG